CCUACGGGUGGCAGCAGUGAGGAAUAUUGCACAAUGGUGGAAACACUGAUCCAGCGACGCCGCGUGAGUGAAGAAGUAAUUCGUUAUGUAAAGCUCUAUUAGCCGGGAAGAAAAUGACGGUACCUGAGUAAGAAGCAGCGGCUAACUACGUGCCAGCAGCCGCGGUAAUACGUCGGGGGCAAGCAUUAUCCGGAUGGACUGGGUGUAAAGGGGGCGUAGACGGCAGUGCAAGUCUGGAGUGAAAGGCGGGGGCUCAACCCCCGGACUGCUCUGGAAACUGUACGGCUGGAGUGCAGGAGAGGUAAGUGGAAUUCCUAGUGUAGCGGUGAAAUGCGUAGAUAUUAGGAGGAACACCAGUGGCGAAGGCGGCUUACUGGACUGUAACUGACGUUGAGGCACGAAAGCGUGGGGAGCAAACAGGAUUAGAUACCCGGGUAGUC
rnacentral:rRNA from 1 species